rnacentral:rRNA from 1 species
GGGUCAGUAGGUUGGUCGUGCCACCGGUACGUACUGGUCUCACUGAUUCCUCCUUCCUGAAGAACCGUAAUGCCAUUAAUUUGGUGUUGCGGGGAAACAGGACUGUUACUUUGAUAAAAUUAGAGUGUUUAAAGCAAGCUAACGCUUGAAUACAUUAGCAUGGAAUAAUGAAAUAGGACGAUCGAUCCUAUUUUGUUGGUUUCUAGGAUUGACGUA